rnacentral:tmRNA from 1 species
GGGGGCGACAUGGUUUCGACGUGGGUUACAAACCUCUGGGUGCAUGCCGAGGUGCAGAUCACCUCGUAACUCCAUCUGCAAACCUUAUAGUUGCCAACGACGACAACUACGCUCUC